rnacentral:rRNA from 1 species
GAUGAACGCUGGCGGCGUGCCUAAUACAUGCAAGUCGAGCGAACAGACGAGGAGCUUGCUCCUCUGACGUUAGCGGCGGACGGGUGAGUAACACGUGGAUAACCUACCUAUAAGACUGGGAUAACUUCGGGAAACCGGAGCUAAUACCGGAUAAUAUAUUGAACCGCAUGGUUCAAUAGUGAAAGACGGUUUUGCUGUCACUUAUAGAUGGAUCCGCGCCGCAUUAGCUAGUUGGUAAGGUAACGGCUUACCAAGGCGACGAUGCGUAGCCGACCUGAGAGGGUGAUCGGCCACACUGGAACUGAGACACGGUCCAGACUCCUACGGGAGGCAGCAGUAGGGAAUCUUCCGCAAUGGGCGAAAGCCUGACGGAGCAACGCCGCGUGAGUGAUGAAGGUCUUCGGAUCGUAAAACUCUGUUAUUAGGGAAGAACAAAUGUGUAAGUAACGAUGCACGUCUUGACGGUACCUAAGCAGAAAGCCACGGCUAACUACGG